rnacentral:rRNA from 1 species
CCUACGGGAGGCAGCAGUCGAGAAUCAUGCACAAUGGGGGAAACCCUGAUGGGGCGACGCCGCGUGGGGGAAGGAAGGUCUACGGAUUGUAAACCCCUGUCAUGGGGGAGCAAAGUAAAAAGAUAGUACCACAAGAGGAAGAGACGGCUAACUCUGGUACCGCAGCCUAGUGAAUACAGAGGUCUCAAGCGUUGAUCGGAAUCACUGGGCGUAAAGCGUGCGUAGGCGGGUUCGUAAGUCGUGUGUGAAAGGCGCGGGCUCAACCCGCGGACGGACCUUGAAACUUGGAACCUAGAGUAAUGGAGAGGGAACUGGAAUUCUCGGUGUAGCAGUGAAAUGCGUAGAUAUCGCGAGGAACACUAGUGGCGAAGGCGGGUUCCUGGACCUUAACUGACGCUGAGGCACGAAGGCCUGGGGAGCGAAAGGGAUUAGAUACCCUUGUAGUC